rnacentral:rRNA from 1 species
AUACGGAGGGGGUUAGCGUUGUUCGGAAUUACUGGGCGUAAAGCGUACGUAGGCGGACUGGAAAGUUGGGGGUGAAAUCCCGGGGCUCAACCCCGGAACUGCCUCCAAAACUUCCAAUCUAGAGAUCGAGAGAGGUGAGUGGAAUUCCAAGUGUAGAGGUGAAAUUCGUAGAUAUUUGGAGGAACACCAGUGGCGAAGGCGGCUCACUGGCUCGAUACUGACGCUGAGGUACGAAAGCGUGGGGAGCAAACAGGAUUAGAAACCCGAGUAGUCC